rnacentral:tRNA from 1 species
GCCGGGGUGCCCGAGCGGACCAAGGGGCUGGCCUGGAGAAUGUUCCGGCUAGCCAGUAGGGGCAACCCUACGCGGGUUCAAAUCCCGCCCCCGGCG